rnacentral:misc_RNA from 1 species
AAAUUUGUAAUUAAUAUAUAAGCAGUCUUAUUUACACUCGUGAGAUAUCAAUAUCACAAAACCCCCUUUCUCUCUCUUGGUUACUACACAAUUAAUCACAUGAUCUAAACUACCCAAUGAAAAUUCAAGAAAUCCAAUUUCUGGUUUGAUUUCAAUAUAUUUUUUUAAUUGCGAAUCGCGGUUUGAUUGCUUCAUUAAUUUAUCCUGUUUAAUCAAAGAAUCUGAAGACAAGAAAUUAUUUGUCAUACCUGUAUAGUUUUUCGUCUAUGACAUUUUACUGACAAGAUUAUUGGAUUAUAUUUGCAAUUAAAGGAUUAUUCACAUCAGACACAGUUAUAUUUAUCAUGUUUUGAAGAUGAAAAGAAAAAUGUUUGAAUGAAGAUAUUAACAUGUUGGAGUGGUUGGCAUUAGGAAGGGCAUCCAGCUGUAGAAACAUUGCCAGAUAAGACUGGAGCCUGGUGCAGCCUUCUGGCUUCCCAGAUCCCCGGUCGAACCAUCCAACCCAUACUAGCAUGGAGAACGGACGUUAAACGAUGAUGGUGAUGAUGAUGAUGAUAUCAGUCUGUGGUGAAUUAAGCUGAAAUGUUUCUUCUAAACUGUGAUAAGCAAAAAUGCAUUCCUUAACAUUUUCUGCAAUAUCACCAGAGGGUGAGCUUGCAAUCUAACUGGAAAUAUUUAUAAAUGCAUUUGCAGCAUCUUAAGAUAUUGACGAAGAUCACAGGUGAUGGAAAUAUACAUCAGUGAAAGUAUUUUUUAAGGAAUGAAACGAUAAAACUGGAAACCAGAAAUAUAACAAUAUACCUUCAUGAGAAAAAUAUUAAUAAUGGAAAAACUGAAUCAAGAAAUUUAUAUGAGUGAUUUUUUUAAAAAUUUCAUUCUGAGAUGUCGAAAGAGAUAAAAGUAUCAUACCCUUGUGACAUCUGUGGUAAAUUAUUCUCUUGGAAAAGUAACCUAACCACUCACAAACGCAUUCACACAGGGGAGAAGCCAUAUCAUUGUAAUAUCUGUGGGAAAUCCUUCUCUGGGAGUAGUGACUUAACUACUCACAUACGGAGUCAUACAGGAGAGAAAACCUAUCACUGUGAUAUCUGUGGCAAAUCAUUCUCUGAAAGCAGUAGUUUGACUAAGCAUAAACGUAUUCAUACAGGAGAGAAACCUUAUCGCUGUGACAUCUGUGGAAAGCCAUUCUCUCAAAAUGAGCAUUUAACAACACACAGACGUAUUCAUACGGGAGAGAAACCAUAUCAUUGUGAUACAUGUGGUAAAUCAUUCUCUGAAAAGGGGAUUUUGACUGAGCACAAACGUAUUCAUACUGGAGAGAGACCAUAUCACUGUGAUAUUUGUGGCAAGACAUUCUCUAAAAAUGGAAACUUAGCCAAGCAUGAACGUAUUCAUACAGGGGAGAAGCCAUAUCGCUGUGAUAUCUGUGGUAAAUCAUUCUCUCAGAGUAGUGGCUUAAUUACACACAAACGUAUUCAUACUGGAGAGAAACCAUAUAAGUGUAGUGUCUGUGGUAAGGCAUUCUCUCAAAGCAGUGGCUUAACCAUACACGAACGUGUUCAUACAGGAGAGAAGCCAUACCACUGUGACGUCUGCGAUAGAUCCUUCUCUCAAAGCGGUGAGUUGACUACUCACAAGCUCAUUCAUACAGGAGAGAAGCCAUAUCACUGUGAUAUCUGUGGUAAAUCAUUCUUUCGUAAAUAUUACUUGAGCAAACACGUGGGUAUUCAUAUUGAGGUGUAACUGUAUUAAUAAUCCUUUAUAUUUUAGGCACAGGGCCGGAAAUUUUUGUUGACCAGGGUACAGUUGAUUACAUCGAUCCUCAUGCUUAACUGGUACUUAUUUAAUCGACCCCGAAAGGAUGAAAGGCAAAGUCGA